rnacentral:rRNA from 1 species
CGAACGCUGGCAGCGUGGAUUAGGCAUGCAAGUCGAACGGGAUCCGGAUGGUAGCAAUAUCGUCUGGUGAGAGUGGCGGAUUGGGGAGGAGCACGUGAGCAACCUGGCCCUGGAGAUGUGGAAAACCGCUGGAAACGGCGGCUAAUACAGAAUGUGGCGCCCCGCGGCAUCGCGGGAGCGCCGAAGGGGGCCGAAAGGCUCCCGCUCCGGGAUGGGCUCGCGCACCAUCAGCUUGUUGGCGGGUAACGGCCCACCAAGGCUCACGGUUAGCUGGUCUGAGAGGAUGACCAGCCCCACUGGGACUGAGAUACUGCCCAGACUCCUACGGGAGGCUGCAGUCGAGGAUCAUUCGCAAUGGGCGGAAGCCUGACGAUGCGACGCUGCGUGGAGGAUGGAGGCCCUCGGGUCGUAAACUCCUGUCAUGGGGGAAAAGGCGAGGACGGCCAAUACCCGUCUUAGUUGAUGGUACCCCAAGAGGAAUGGGUGGCUAACUCUGUGCCAGCAGCGGC